UCCAGCUUAUCGCUGGCGGUCUCCUGCGAGUUCCGCCCUUGCGGGCAUGGCAACACAGGACAAGGGUUGCGCUCGUUGCGGGACUUAACCCAACAUCUCACGACACGAGCUGACGACAGCCAUGCAGCACCUCGACUGGACCCCCUUGCGGGGUAGCAGUGUUUCCACCGCCGUUGACCAGCCGUUCGAGCCCAGGUAAGGUUCUUCGCGUUGCGUCGAAUUGAACCACAUGCUCCACCGCUUGUGCGGGCCCCCGUCAAUUCCUUUGAGUUUCAGCCUUGCGACUGUACUCCCCAGGCGGCACGUUUAACGCGUUAGCUCCGGCACAGAUCAACUGAAUGACCUACACCAAACGUGCAUCGUUUAGGGCGUGGACUAC
rnacentral:misc_RNA from 1 species